CUAGGACGAGCUCAAAGAAACCGACUCAGCGCUACACGAAAUCGAGGCCAAGCUGAAGGAAGCAGAAGAGCAGAAUGGAAACCUUCUCGCAGAAAUAAAUUGCCUGAGAGAAGAAAUAUGUGCAAAGGAUGACCAGCUUGAUGAACAUCGAGAAAUGAUUAAGCAGGUCCAAAAUCCAUCAGAAGCUGAGAUGAAGGUGGAAUGUAGCAGCGUACAGCAAACCAAGAGUGUGAUGCAAAACACUCUGCGACGCAGGAAGUGACGGUGAUGCUCUGGAGUCUCUCGAGAACAAUCUGAGUCAAGUGAAGAAGGAGAAAGAGCAGAUCCACAAGGACUUCGUCAGGCUACAGAAAGACAUCCGAUUGCUGAGGAAGGAGCACGAGCAGGACCUAGAAUACAUGAAGAAAGAGUUGCUGGGCGAGAAUGAGAAACAGAUGAAACUGGAGCUGGAAGAUCUGGAGAUGAAGCACAAUUCUGCUAUCAAGCAGUUAAUGAGGGAGUUCACACACAGAUGGCUUUGAAAGAGAGGGAGCUCGUUACAACAGUGAAGGAGACCAUCGAGAAGGCCCAGACCGUAGAGGCGGAGCUCCUCAGCAGCCAUAGUGAAGAAGCCUGUCAGCUGAGGAAGGUGAUUGACCAGAAGGAGGAUGAUUUGCACAGAACUGUUCAGAAAUAUGAAGAGGUAUUACAGAGUCGAGAGGAGGAGAUGGGGGACCGAGUGUGGCAGGUU